rnacentral:rRNA from 1 species
UACGAAGGUCCCAAGCGUUAUCCGGAUUUAUUGGGUUUAAAGGGUGCGUAGGCGGGCUAUUAAGUCAGUGGUGAAAGCCCCAAGCUUAACUUGGGAACUGCCAUUGAUACUGAUGGUCUUGAGUACAUUUGAGGUGGGCGGAAUGUGUCAUGUAGCGGUGAAAUGCUUAGAUAUGACACAGAACACCGAUUGCGAAGGCAGCUCACUAAACUGUAACUGACGCUGAGGCACGAAAGUGCGGGGAUCAAACAGG